rnacentral:lncRNA from 1 species
GUCCUGAUUCAGGGCUGGGAGAAACGCAGCGCACCCAGGAGCAUGUCCCGGGGCCAAGGCUCCAAUCCUUGCAGAGACAAAGAAUCUGGAUUAAAUACAAAUGACCCAGUUCAAUCAAUCCCUGGCAUUCACUGAGAAUUCAGGAAACAAAUCUAAAACAGAACAACAAAGAACUGAUAUAAUUGCCACGAUGAAGCUGGGGCUGCAGGGAUUACCUCUGUGGAAUUAAGGGAAGCUGAUAAGAUUCUCCUCCUCCAUAAGGAUUAUUACAAGAGCGAUUGGGACUCGGGGAAAGAAAGCGGUUUGAACAGUAAGACUGCAAAGUCCUGAAAGAGGUUACUUGAAGCAAUUGGGAAAUCCUGAAAGCACCUAUCUGGAAGCUUUGGCUGAGACCAGGCCCAGAAGGACAGACAGACAGCACGUUCCUCUCCGGCUCUGUCCUUCUGCAGGGAAACUGAAGAUGGGUGUGUUUUGACCCAGAAUCCGCAGGGUUAGAGUUGAAUUUUACAAAUCACUUCAGGAUGCAGCGUUGAGACGGAAGACUUAGGAUUGGAGAAUUAAUUUUCUCUUCCUCCUGAGUAAAGCAGCUCUUCCUAAAGCUGAGAAUCUUAGCAGAAUGAAUAAACCAAAUGGCAGCAGUCCGGUAAGCACUGUAUGACCCUAAUCAUUCUGACCAUUUUGUACCACGUUUUACAGUGGCCUGAUUAAAUAGGAGAGAAUCCACGUGACAUGGUGCUCCUGAGAACAAAGCUAAAGUAUGCCAAUCAAACCAUGUGCCCUGGAGGAAAAACUUGGGGCACUCUCUUCUAGCAGCUAAUAAAAAAUAGGACAACACUUGAAUUCUACACGGAGAACUGUUUCUUACAUUUAGUUGAUACAGUAAGAAGUAACCAGCUACAGAGAAAUCACAAGAUCUGGAUUAGACCAGAACAUUUGUUUAUUAAAAUGUAAUUUAAGUAAUCAGAACCUUGUGAAUGUUUCAAACUGGAAACCCUAGAAAAUCUAAGUUUUCUCAUGAGAUAUUUUCUAGUAAACACUUCCAUUGCCCAGUCACACCUAUAAAGUGAGUAUGCACCUGUGUAUGAUCCCAUAAGAGCACUUUUAAAGUAACAAAACCACUAUAAUA